AUUGAACGCUGGCGGCAUGCUUUACACAUGCAAGUCGAACGGUAACAGGGAGCUUGCUCCGCUGACGAGUGGCGAACGGGUGAGUAAUAUAUCGGAACGUACCCAAGAGUGGGGGAUAACGUAGCGAAAGUUACGCUAAUACCGCAUACGAUCUAAGGAUGAAAGCAGGGGACCUUCGGGCCUUGUGCUCCUGGAGCGGCCGAUAUCUGAUUAGCUAGUUGGUGAGGUAAAGGCUCACCAAGGCGACGAUCAGUAGCUGGUCUGAGAGGACGACCAGCCACACUGGAACUGAGACACGGUCCAGACUCCUACGGGAGGCAGCAGUGGGGAAUUUUGGACAAUGGGCGCAAGCCUGAUCCAGCAAUGCCGCGUGAGUGAAGAAGGCCUUCGGGUUGUAAAGCUCUUUUGUCAGGGAAGAAACGGGAUUGGCUAAUAUCCAGUCCUAAUGACGGUACCUGAAGAAUAAGCACCGGCUAACUACGUG
rnacentral:rRNA from 1 species